rnacentral:pre_miRNA from 1 species
UGAGAACUGAAUUCCAUGGGUUGUAAUUGAAUCCUUUGUCAGACCCAUGGGGCUCAGUUCUUCA